rnacentral:rRNA from 1 species
ACGAACCAUCCAAACGUUAUUCGGAAUCACUGGGCUUAAAGGGUGCGUAGGCGGCGUGAUAAGUUGGGUGUGAAAUCCCUCAGCUCAACUGAGGAAUAGCGCCCAAUACUGUUAUGCUCGAGGAAGACAUAGGUGAGCGGAACUUAGGGUGGAGCGGUGAAAUGCGUUGAUAUCCUAAGGAACACCAGUAGCGAAAGCGGCUCACUGGGUCUUAUCUGACGCUGAUGCACGAAAGCCAGGGGAGCGAACGGGAUUAGAUACCCCGGUAGUCCUGGCCGUAAACGAUGAGUACUAGGUUGGAGAGUCCUCCAUAACUUUCCAGCCGUAACGAAAGUGUUAAGUACUCCGCCUGGGGAGUAUGGUCGCAAGGCUG